rnacentral:rRNA from 1 species
UACGUAGGGGGCAAGCGUUGUCCGGAAUCAUUGGGCGUAAAGAGCGUGUAGGCGGCCAGGUAGGUCUGCUGUGAAAACUCGAGGCUUAACCUCGAGAUGUCGGUGGAAACCAUCUGGCUAGAGUCCGGAAGAGGAGAGUGGAAUUCCUGGUGUAGCGGUGAAAUGCGCAGAUAUCAGGAAGAACACCCGUGGCGAAGGCGGCUCUCUGGGACGGUACUGACGCUGAGACGCGAAAGCGUGGGGAGCGAACAGG